ACGGAGGAUGCGAGCGUUAUCCGGAUUCAUUGGGUUUCCCGGGUGCGUCGUCUCCCUCUCCCGUCACUGCCCAAAUCCUGCAGCUUAACUGCAGAACUGCCAUUGAUACUGAUAGCCUUGAGUUUGGUUAAGGUAGGCGGAAUGUGUAAUGUAGCGGUGAAAUGCUUAGAUAUUACAGGGGGGGGGAGGUGCGGGGCAAGGGCAGGGAGGAGAAGGGGGGGAGGAGGAAAGAAAGAGGGGGGAGGGAAGAG
rnacentral:rRNA from 1 species